AGAAUUCCUGUUAUUCUAACACUCCUAUGUUUUCUCUUUUUUAGUUUCUAUCUAUUUUAAUUUUAAUUUUAAUUUUAAAUCUCUAUUUCUAUAGCUUAUUAAUUACUAUCGGUUACUAAUUUUUUAUCUUCCAUUUCGUGUCCUUUUGCUUUUCAUGUCUCCCGGGCUUUUCUUCAAGUUGGUCGCUCUCUUUCUCUGCAAUUCUAUAUAUCAUCUCUCUCUCCCUGUCCCUCUCUCUGUUCUUUUUAAUUCGAUCUCAUUUUGUUUGCUUCUCUACUUGAAUUUCAGCCUUUUAGAUGAUAAGUGCUUUGAGUCAGCAAGCUGAACUCACGAUUUCUUGACGGGCGUUUUUGAUUUCUGAGUUUUUUGGUGUCUCUAGAUUGUGGGUCUUUUUGGUGGGUUUUUUGAGUAUGUUUCUGGAAGGAUUUGCUUUAUAUAAAUAGAGUUGUAUCCACUUUUUGUUUCUUGUCUUUAAUUUGUAGCUCUGUUUUGUAGCUUAUUGCGGGUUUAAUUGCUUGUGUCUGCUCUUCAGGCUUCGGUUUGUCUUGCCGGGGAUAGUAGUGCUUAUCAUAGACAGGCUCCUUUUGGAGAUGAUAUUUAUUAUAUUUUUUAUCUGUUUUAUUACAUGUUAUUGUAUUUUUUCAGUUUUAUUGAUGUGAUCUUUCAAAUUCAUGCUCACUCUUUGGUGGAUCAGGUUUGUGAAAUUCGUUGGCACGCCUGAGGUUCUUGAGAGAUUCGUUUCGUUAUAGCAAGAGUUUGCUCAGAUUAAGACUCUGCUGUAUCAAAUGGAUACACAAAGGUCUGCUUCACAUCCUUGCAUCUGCUUCUGAAACCUGGUCUGCUUCACAUCCUUGCAUCUGCUUCUGAAACCUGUUGGUCUUCAAAUGAAGCGCUGAGCUCAAUCUCCUACGCUACAUUUGCUGAUAUUCGUAUACGUUCAGCCAUGCCAAACUUAUCAUCUCUUAGAGUAUUAGGGAUCAUCUUAAGCAUGUCCUGCAAUCUCAAAAAUCUCUGCUCCAGAGAGAAGAGGCAAUGGCUUAUGCACGAACUUUAGUAGCAGGAUUUGAGAUGGAACAUAUCGACGAGCUCAUCUUUUUUGCUGAUGCUUUUGGAACUUCAUGCUUAAGACUACAAGAUUACACCAAGGUCAGGCAAAUCUGCUUGCAUCUGAAGGAGGUGGUGGUGAGAGAUGCACCAAAUUUUUUCACUCAGGCUCACAGGUAUUUAUGGUGAAUAUACUACUCGCUGGACCUGGAUGCUGAAGAUGCUUAUAGUGCCAAAGCUACUUCUUGUGCUUGUGAUGUCUCAGUUUUAGACUAUUCAAUCUUUUCUUACAUGCAAGUUUAAAAUUAAGUUAGCUAUCAUUGUAUCUAAUUUGAAAAGUAAUUUGCUAUAUAGUGUAUCGAAUUUAUAGGUAUUAUUAAAUGUUUUCUUAAGUUUUAUCCA